rnacentral:rRNA from 1 species
GACGAACGCUGGCGGCGUGCCUAAUACAUGCAAGUCGAACGCAGUGGGGACGGGUGAGUAACACGUGGGUAACCUCCCAUCAGACGGGAUAACACUUGGAAACAGGUGCUAAACCGACACUGGUGGAUGGACCCGCGGUGCAUUAGCUAGUUGUGGGGGUAACGGCUCAGCAAGGCAACGAUGCAUAGCCGACCUGAGAGGAUGAUCGGCCACACUGGGACUGAGACACGGCCCAGACUCCUACGGGAGGCAGCAGUAGGGAAUAUUGGGCAAUGGACGAAAGUCUGACCGAGCAACGCCGCGUGAGUGAAGAAGGUUUUCGGAUCGUAAAGCUCUGUUGGUAGAGAGGCGGUAUCUAACCAAAAAGCCACGGCUAACUCCGUGCCAGCAGCCGCGGUAAUAC